rnacentral:rRNA from 1 species
UACGUAGGGUGCGAGCGUUAAUUGGAAUUACUGGGCGUAAAGCGUGCGCAGGCGGUUUUGUAAGUCAGAUGUGAAAUCCCCGGGCUUAACCUGGGAACUGCGUUUGAAACUACAAGGCUAGAGUGUGGCAGAGGGGGGUGGAAUUCCACGUGUAGCAGUGAAAUGCGUAGAGAUGUGGAGGAACACCGAUGGCGAAGGCAGCCCCCUGGGUUAACACUGACGCUCAGGCACGAAAGCGUGGGGAGCAAACAGG